UACGUAGGGGGCAAGCGUUGUCCGGAUUUAUUGGGCGUAAAGAGCGUGUAGGCGGCCAGACAGGUCAGCUGUGAAAACUCGAGGCUCAACCUCGAGACGUCGGCGGAAACCAUCUGGCUAGAGUCCGGAAGAGGAGAGUGGAAUUCCUGGUGUAGCGGUGAAAUGCGCAGAUAUCAGGAAGAACACCCGUGGCGAAGGCGGCUCUCCGGGACGGUACUGACGCUGAGACGCGAAAGCGUGGGGAGCGAACAGG
rnacentral:rRNA from 1 species